AAACCAGCACCUCAAGUGGUCAGGAUGAUUAUUGGGCCUAAAGCAUCCGUAGCCGGCUCUGUAAGUUUUCGGUUAAAUCUGUACGCUCAACGUACAGGCUGCCGGGAAUACUGCAGAGCUAGGGAAUGGGAGAGGUAGACGGUACUCGGGAGGAAGUGGUAAAAUGCUUUGAUCUCUCGAUGACCACCUGUGGCGAAGGCGGUCUACUAGAACACGUUCGACGGUGAGGGAUGAAAGCUGGGGGAGCAAACCGGAUUAGAUACCCGGGUAGUCC
rnacentral:rRNA from 1 species